UUUAACGAAACCCAUCCAUGUAUUCUAUCCUUCAUUCCACCGGAGUCUGUGUAAAGUGCCAGUCAGAUUUCAGUGGUUUGAAGAGUAAAACGCAUGGAAUUCA
rnacentral:pre_miRNA from 11 species